rnacentral:rRNA from 1 species
UACGGGGGGGGCAAGCGUUGUUCGGAAUUACUGGGCGUAAAGGGCUCGUAGGUGGCCAACUAAGUCAGACGUGAAAUCCCUCGGCUUAACCGGGGAACUGCGUCUGAUACUGGAUGGCUUGAGUUUUGGAGAGGAAGGCGGAAUACUUGGUGUAGAGGUGAAAUUCGUAGAUAUCAAGUGGAACACCGGUGGCGAAGGCGGCCUUCUGGACAAUGACUGACGCUGAAACGCGAAAGCGUGGGGAGCAAACAGG